AACGAACGCUGGCGGCGUGCUUAACACAUGCAAGUCGAGCGCGAAAGGGGGGGCAACUCCCUGAGUAGAGCGGCGCACGGGUGAGUAACGCGUGGGUAACCUACCUCCGGGCGGGGGAUAACUACUCGAAAGGGUGGCUAAUACCGCAUGAGACCACGGGGUCUUCGGAUCCUGAGGCCAAAGAUGGCAUCGGCUUGCCGGUGCUGUCACCUGGAGAUGGGCCCGCGUACGAUUAGCUAGUUGGUGAGGUAACGGCUCACCAAGGCUGCGAUCGUUAGCUGGUCUGAGAGGAGGGCCAGCCACACUGGAACUGAAACACGGUCCAGACUCCUACGGGAGGCAGCAGUGAGGAAUAUUGCGCAAGGGGGGAAACCCUGACGCAGCACCGCCGCGUGGGUGAAGAAGGCCUUCGGGUCGUAAAGCCCUUUCGGACGGGACGAACGUUUCGCGGAGCCAAACCGCGAAGCUUGACGGUACCGUAAGAAGAAGCACCGGCUAACUCCGUGCCAGCCGCCGCCGUAACAC
rnacentral:rRNA from 1 species